AGUGAACGCUGGCGGUAGGCCUAACACAUGCAAGUCGAACGGCAGCACAGUAAGAGCUUGCUCUUACGGGUGGCGAGUGGCGGACGGGUGCGGAAUACAUCGGAAUCUACUUUUUCGUGGGGGCUAACGUAGGGAAACUUACGCUAAUCCCGCAUACGACCUACGGGUGAAAGCAUGGGAUCUUCGGACCUUGCGCGAUUGUAUGAGCCGAUGUCGGAUUAGCUAGUUGGCGGGGUAAAGGCCCACCAAGGCGACGAUCCGUAGCUGGUCUGAGAGGAUGAUCAGCCACACUGGAACUGAGACACGGUCCAGACUCCUACGGGAGGCAGCAGUGGGGAAUAUUGGACAAUGGGCGAAAGCCUGAUCCAGCCAUACCGCGUGGGUGAAGAAGGCCUUCGGGUUGUAAAGCCCUUUUGGUGGGAAAGAAGAGCAGCAGGUUAAUACCCCGCUGUUCUGACGGUACCCAAAGAAUAAGCACCGGCUAACUUCGUG
rnacentral:rRNA from 1 species